GGAAGUGAAACCAGUGCGUUGACGUAAAGACGCAGAAACACGCGGCGGCCUUUAGAAUGAAAUCCUGUAACAAAUAAAUACAAAUGCUACGCUAGCUCACCUGCGUGCCUCCUGCUGCGUUCUGAUUGGCUGUUACCUGGUUACCAGGGCAUCAGUGAAUUAGCAUGAGUUGGAUAUUUUCACCCCCGUAAGUUCGGAGGUGUCUCUGGAUACUUUUUAAAAAGGUGUCCCUUGUUUAUUAUGAACAUCGGAGCGCUCAGCGCUAACAUAUGCUAGGCUAGCUGCACGCUGAUUGGCUGCUGGGAAGUCGCAGUUCGGUGACGAGCUGGUGAUGUUCAUCUUGCAACAGAAGUGACUGAGACCAGCGGAGAGAUCCGAGCCUAAAAGCACCAGAACAGGGAGGAGAGGAGAGGGAAGGAGCCCCGGCGGGCUGCAGAGCGACCCGGGACACAUCCCUCACCGCGCGGACCAGAACCGGGUCAAAGCUCUGCGUCCGGAGAACAGAAGAAACUCGAAUAACACCGGGACGGAACCGAGCCGAGAUCUAUACGAAGGGAGACACGUCCCACCCCUGAUGAAGUGGGUCGAUUAUGUGAAUGAAGUCUCUGUUUACUAGACACGGGUCCCCGGGCGAGUGCAGUUAACGUUAGCUGGCACAGCUAGCCGGCUAGCGGCUAACCAAGAAAACGCCCCACAGAUACCCGCUCAGACGCAGAGGUGUUACCGACCGUCACACCCCCAGGACCCCGCAGAGAAAAUGCACGUGUCCCCCUUUCGUGUUUUAUCUGGAAGUCACAAAUACCAAGGAACACAAUUUGAGAUAAAAGACGGGAGACGGGCUAACCGUUAGCUAGCCGCGGUUAGCCUAGCUCAGCCGUUGACUUACACAUAGACGAUGGACAUGAAGUGCAUCAGCCACAGCACGAAGAACAGGAUGAAGCCGAACACAGCGAGCGCCUGCAUGGCGAUGUCCAGCACCGCCAUGGUGCUCCCGGGAUGGGGGGCAAAGGCUCCGGGGAGAAGUGACCGGCAGACCGGCCUCGGGAGUGGGACCAAUCUGGGUCCGACUCUCGGUGCAACGAGCUCGGUUAGCUUUAUGCUAAUGCCCCGGCCUCCAGAUGAAAGCAGGCGGGGGCGCGGGCCAGGAGCUCCGGUAACGGGGCGACACGGAGACCCGCCUCGGCCAGGUGCUGCGGGAACCGGGUCACGGAGGCGCAGGCGUCAGCGAUUUGACAGUCACCGGACCGACCGACGGUCAGCUGACCACCGGGGGGGGAGGGGGGGUUGUGUGUAGCAACAGCGACUACGUCACUUCCGCUUGUAUUCAAAACAAAAGCUUUAUUUAAAGGGCUGGUUGCAGCAAACUAGACACAAACAGACGGAGAUUAUAACUUAAAGAAUGUUUAAGAAAAGAUUAUGAUAUUGAAUUCGGCUACAUACACGCAAACGUUUUUGUUCAACUCAAAGACAACAGAUUAAAGUUGUCCACAUUUAUAUUAUUAAAUCAACUACAGGUGAGAAUGUUUAGUUUGUAAUAAUUUCCGCUGCACCUCUUGUUCAGGAAUUCAAGUGAAUACUGAACGGAUGUAAAACGGAGUUACCUGGUAGGCUCCGCCCACACAGGUGAGUCAUGGGAUGAUUACGAUCAUUUUAUCGGAUGUUCCGUUGACAAUAGUUUUCCACCACAACCGUGACUCGAGUUCAGGUUACCUGUGGACACACCUGUGAUCUUUAAAUGUAAUUACUGACAUCUAUUUUUUUAAUUCUGUUUAUUGUAUCUUCAUAAGAAAUACAAACAAUACCAGUUAAACCAGCUUGUUGAUUCAUGUAGUGCACUGACCAGUAAACCUUUAUCCUGUGAGAAGAGAUGUUACACAAUAGUAAUAACUACUAUCUGGGGGAAGUCCAAUGUUUACCUGUAGAUAUUAUCCAGCUAGGUGCAGAUUUUAAGUUUUUAUUUUUAAAUGAAAAGAUUUUGUAUUUCACUUAUCACACUUUUUUUCAGAUUUUCUUUUAUAAUCCAUCAAUCUUAUUUCAUCUCCACUUGUGCAAUGCAUCGUGGGAGAGUUGUGUCAAUCGCUUAACUGCUUUUAAUAAACUUUAUUUAUUCCCUUCUUGA